UCUUCCCCCAAUCAUCAUUCAUUUAUGUACUGGAAAACAGAGAACUCUGAUCGAAGAAACCCUAGCCGCCUAGCCCUCCAUCGUCGCCGGCUAACCCAAGUCCUCAGGCCCGCUGGCGUCCCAGGUCCCCAGCACCGCCGCUUCUUCCUCUUCUCCGUGUCCGGAACCCAGUAACUCGGCAGGUCCUCUUCGGCUCUUCAUCUUCGCUGGCUUCUUGGCACGGACCCAGUGAUUUGUUAAGCUGCUGUUGUUGUUAUGCUGCAAGAAAAAGGAUGCCAAAAUAUAGAGGGUGAGCUCUAUUAUUAAUGAUUUUGAAAGAGGAGCAGGACCAAGAAGAUUCUCUUAUGAAGAGAUUGUCUUUGCUAUCAAUGAUCUUUCCCCAAACAGGAAGUUAGGCCAACAUGGAUUUGGAGCAGUGUAUAGAGGCUACUUUGCUGAUCUAGAUUUGGUUGUUGCUGUUAAGAAGAUAUCAAGUGGAUCAAGACAAGAGAAAAGAGAGUAUGUAACUGAAGUCAAAGUCAUUAGCAGGUAAAGGCAUAGGAAUCUUGUGCAACUCAUAGGUUGGUGCCAUGAUCAAGGUGAGUUCCUUCUUGUUUAUGAGUAUAUGCCAAAUGGUAGUCUUCAUGAAGAAUGGGAACAAUGUGUUGUUCACAGAGAUAUCAAACCAAGCAAUGUGAUGUUGGAUUCUAGUUUUAAAUUUGGAAUUUGUGAUUAAUGACUUGUUAAGUUGCUAUUGUUGUUAUGCUGCUGUUUUGUUAUGGCAAUGUUGUUAUGCUGCUGUUUUGUAA